UACGAAGGGAGCUAGCGUUGUUCGGAAUCACUGGGCGUAAAGCGCACGUAGGCGGAUUUGUCAGUCAGGGGUGAAAUCCCGAGGCUCAACCUCGGGUCUGCAGUCGAUACGAGCAAACUAGAGUGUUGCAGGGGAGACUGGAAUUCCUGGUGUAGCGGUGAAAUGCGCAGAUAUCAGGAGGAACACCGGUGGCGAAGGCGGGUCUCUGGGCCGAUACUGACGCUGGAGGAGCGGAAAGCCGUGGGGAGCGAACAGG
rnacentral:rRNA from 1 species